rnacentral:rRNA from 1 species
UACGUAGGGGGCUAGCGUUGUCCGGAAUCAUUGGGCGUAAAGCGCGUGUAGGCGGCCCGGUAAGUCCGCUGUGAAAGUCGGGGGCUCAACCCUCGAAUGCCGGUGGAUACUGUCGGGCUAGAGUGCGGAAGAGGCGAGUGGAAUUCCCGGUGUAGCGGUGAAAUGCGCAGAUAUCGGGAGGAACACCUAUGGCGAAGGCAGCUCGCUGGGACGUUACUGACGCUGAGACGCGAAAGCGUGGGGAGCAAACAGG